rnacentral:rRNA from 1 species
GUUAGGAAUAUUGGACAAUGGGCGCAAGCCUGAUCCAGCCAUGCCGCGUGAGUGAUGAAGGCCUUCGGGUUGUAAAGCUCUUUAGCCGAUGAUUAUAAUGACUGUAGUCGGAAAAUAAGCCCCGGCUAACUUCGUGCCAGCAGCCGCGGUAAUACGAAGGGGGCGAGCGUUAUUCGGAAUCACUGGGCGUAAAGCGUGCGUAGGCGGCUUUGCAAGUUGGGAGGGAAAGCCCAGGGCUCAACCCUGUAAUUGCUCUCAAAACUGCAAGGCUCGAAUUCGGGAGAGGAUAGCGGAAUUGUCAGUGUAGCAGUGAAAUGCGUAGAUAUUGACAGGAACACCAGUGGCGUAAGCGGCUAUCUGGACCGAUAUUGACGCUGAGGCACGAAAGCGUGGGGAUCAAACAGGAUUAGAAACCCGGGUAGUCC